rnacentral:rRNA from 1 species
AUUGAACGCUGGCGGCAUGCCUUACACAUGCAAGUCGAACGGCAGCACGGGUGCUUGCACCUGGUGGCGAGUGGCGCACGGGUGAGUAAUACAUCGGAACAUGUCCUGUAGUGGGGGAUAGCCCGGCGAAAGCCGGAUUAAUACCGCAUACGAUUCACUGAUGAAAGCGGGGGACCUUCGGGCCUCGCGCUAUAGGGUCGGUCGAUGGCUGAUUCGCUGGUUGGUGGGGUAAAGGCCUACCAAGGCGACGCUCAGUAGCUGGUCUGAGAGGACGACCAGCCACACUGGGACUGAGACACGGCCCAGACUCCUACGGGAGGCAGCAGUGGGAAAUUUUGGACAAUGGGCGAAAGCCUGAGCAAGCAAGGCCGCGUGUGUGAAGAAGGCCUUCGGGUUGUAAAGCACUUUUGUCUGGAAAGAAAUCCUUGGCUCUAAUACAGUCGGGGGAGGACGGUACCGGAAGAAUAAGCACCGGCUAACUACGU